GUUGGAGAACCUAUCCAGUUACAACUACAAUGCAAUGCGGUCCUUCUCUAAUACAAUACUCUUAAUCACAUUGUUUAAGUGAUAGUUUGUUUCAUGUUUACUAUCCAAUGUGAUACUUUCCUAUAUGAUUCCUUUGAAUAUGAUUUGGAACAAACUUCCUAAGUCAUAUUCAUAUGCUUUGGCCAAAGACUUUGGAAUCAUAUCUUAGAGUAUUCUCCUUCCACCAUGGAAGGUUAGAGAUCCCUUGUUGUGCAUUCAUAUGCCUACAUGACUAGAUAGCUUGACCCCAACAAUGCCGUGGACAAUCCGAAGGAAUGCCGUUGACAUGAUCAAAGAUCAAGGACCUAACCAUUAGACAUCCAUGAUGCCUCAGGUCAAAGGACUACUUUGCAUAUUGCAACUUUAGAGUUCAUACAUGACAUGUAUGUUCGAACU
rnacentral:lncRNA from 1 species